rnacentral:rRNA from 1 species
CCCUUAGAUGUCCUGGGCUGCACGCGCGCUACACUGAUGUGUCCAGUAAGCACCUAACCUCUUCCGAAAGGAACGGGUAACCUUUGCAAAGCACAUCGUGAUGGGGAUAGAUUAUUGCAAUUAUUAGUCUUGAACGAGGAAUUCCUAGUAAGCACAAGUCAUCAGCUUGUGUUGAUUACGUCCCUGCCCUUUGUACACACCGCCCGUCGCUCCUACCGAUUGAAUGUUCCGGUGAGCUCUUCGGACUGCGCGGUCUGCAGUUUCUGCGUUCCGUGCGGAAAGUUGCGCAAACCUUAACAAUUAGAGGAAGGAGAAGUCGUAACA